GACGAACGCUGGCGGCGUGCUUAACACAUGCAAGUCGAACGAAGAGCGAUGGAAGCUUGCUUCUAUCAAUCUUAGUGGCGAACGGGUGAGUAACGCGUAAUCAACCUGCCCUUCAGAGGGGGACAACAGUUGGAAACGACUGCUAAUACCGCAUACGAUCUAAACUCGGCAUCGAGGAUAGAUGAAAGGUGGCCUCUACAUGUAAGCUAUCACUGAAGGAGGGGAUUGCGUCUGAUUAGCUAGUUGGAGGGGUAACGGCCCACCAAGGCGAUGAUCAGUAGCCGGUCUGAGAGGAUGAACGGCCACAUUGGGACUGAGACACGGCCCAGACUCCUACGGGAGGCAGCAGUGGGGAAUCUUCCGCAAUGGACGAAAGUCUGACGGAGCAACGCCGCGUGAGUGAUGACGGCCUUCGGGUUGUAAAGCUCUGUUAAUCGGGACGAAAGGCCUUCUUGCGAACAGUUAGAAG
rnacentral:rRNA from 1 species